AUUCCAGCUCCAGUAGCGUAUAUUAAAGUUGUUGCAGUUAAAAAGCUCGUAGUUGGAUUUCUGACUUCAAACACCUGACCCUCCCUCGCUAGAGGUGUGUGUGCCGGAGUGUUUGUAUCAUCCUUUCAGUGAUCGGUUCUACCCUUAACCGGGUCGGAACUGUUAACUGGAUCUUUUACUUUGAAGAAAUUGGAGUGUUUAAAGCAGGCUUACGCCAGAACAUAUUAGCAUGGAAUAAUAAUUUAGGACUUUUGGUCUAUUUUGUUGGUUUCUAGGACGAAAGUAAUGAUUGAUAGGGAUAGUUGGGGGUGCUAGUAUUCGGCGGCCAGAGGUGAAAUUCUUUGAUCCGCUGAAGACUAACUUAUGCGAAAGCACUCACCAAGGAUGUCUUCAUUA
rnacentral:rRNA from 1 species